rnacentral:rRNA from 1 species
GAUGAACGCUGGCGGCGUGCCUAAUACAUGCAAGUCGAGCGAACAUACGAGGAGCUUGCUCCUUCGACGUUAGCGGCGGACGGGGGAGUAACACGUAGUUAACCUACCUUUAAGACUGGGAUAACUUCGGGAAACCGGAGCUAAUACCGGCUAAUAUUUCGAACCUCAUGGUUCGAUAGUGAAAGAUGGCUUUGCUAUCACUUAUAGAUGGGCCUGCGCUGUAUUAGCUAGUUGGUAAGGUAACGGCUUACCAAGGCAACGAUACGUAGCCGACCUGAGAGGGUGAUCGGCCACACUGGAACUGAGACACGGUCCAGACUCCUACGGGAGGCAGCAGUAGGGAAUCUUCCGCAAUGGGCGAAAGCCUGACGGAGCAACGCCGCGUGAGUGAUGAAGGUCUUCGGAUCGUAAAACUCUGUUAUUAGGGAAGAACAAACGUGUAAGUAAAUGUGCACGUCUUGACGGUACCUAAUCAGAAAGCCACGGCUAACUACGUG